rnacentral:lncRNA from 1 species
CAGGUGUUGUUCCUAUGCCGGUGAGGCGGUCAAUGCCCAAACUGAGGCUGAACCUCAGAACUAAAGCACGAUAUAUAACUGCCUCGCUUCAGUUGCUUCCUUGCAUGCACCGUGUGCAAGUCCUAUGUAUAAUAAAUCAAGAGAUGCUUAAUGCAUCAUAAGAAAGAAAUAAAUCAACCUUGAAUGGUCUGUGAUCCUACUUAUGAUAUCAAUUUAAUUAUUUACUCCUGUUAGUUUCCGCUUAUCUGGUUUAUUUUUUGAAAUCUUGAUCCAGUAGUAAUUGUAUUCGUGGUGGUAUCUAAUUGGAUUAGAUGGAAGAGUAUUUAGGUUGAGCUAAGAAAACGAAAUGAAAUUUGAAUCAAAUCUUAAACGAAUUCGGUUAAAACUUUGUUGAUUUGGAAUUGAUUCUCUUAUUAAAUGAGUUAAAAUUUCAAAAUUCAGAUUCGAUUCAUUUAUUAAACGAAUAUCUGAUUUAAUUUAUUUAAUUCGUUUAGUAGAAUUAAUAAACUAUUCGAAUCGAAUCUAAAUUCAUUUACUAUUCAUUUAUCUUAUAAUAAAUGAAUUCAUAACUAAUUGAAUUGAAUAUGAAUUUGAUUUUAAAAUUCAAUUAAUAAAUAAAAAUUAAGUAAAUAAUCCAAAACGUAUUAUAAGAUUAAAAUAUACAGUCAUCCAAACAUUAAAUUACUAAUUCUUAACAAUAUAAAUAACAACAAUUCAAAUUCAAAUUUUAAACCAAAGUGAUUUCUUUAAUUCUCUUCAUUCGAUCUUCGUCACGUUGAAAACAAAAAUCCUACACAUAAAUAUGUAAAUGUAGUGAUAUUAACCUGCCGCAACAAUGAUAAGAGUCAUUGUAAUAUUUUAAAGUAUCAAAUAUAUAAUAAAUUCGUAGUACUGUUAAGGAAAUAAUAAUUAAACCUACAAAACCAAAAAAAAAUAAGUAAGAUAAAAUCAAGUACCAUUUCUGGUUCAAUAGUGUUUUUUAUGUGACCCUUUCCACCUUCAGGAAAUGAUUAUAGGGCAAUCAACACAUUACAAAAUAAAACGAAGUACCAUUUUCAAACAACGAAAAGGAAAAAAAUAAAAACAAAAACUUAAAACUUUUUUUUUUUAGACAAUCAACAAAACCUCGUAUAAAGAAUUGAGAGCGGUUUAUAUAUAUUAGGUGAAGAGUUCAUCCAAAACCAUUUCCAUAAUUACAAACUACGCCCACAACUUCUUCAAGAAACCAUUUAUCUUUAUGUAAACACCCCCAACGUCAUAAACAAACAUAAAACUAAAAAUGCUAUAAAAUCUACCUAACAUUUUCCCUCUUUUCUCCUCCCCAAAGGUGAAAAUACUCAUUUUUCCCUUUUCCUCGUUGUUAUUCAUUUACGUGUACAACGACGAGCAAAACCACAGCCUUUUUUUAAAAAUAAAAAUAAAAAAGAAACCUCCUAUACCUACAAUUUACCUCCCUCCCUCAAACAAGAAUGUGCAAAAAUAAAGGUGCUGCUCGGAAAACGUCAAUAUUACCUUGUUUUGGUAGUAAUCCGAAUGAUAAUAACAGUUGAACAAGUUGAGCUGAUGGACUAGCUAAUAACAUAACCUGGG